rnacentral:lncRNA from 1 species
GAAAAUGAAAGCAGGACUUCCAGGGGCCUGAACCCAGGCCAGGCAUUUCUCUAGGUGGACAUCAAGUUUUAAAGCAAAUGAAACUUGAACAUUUCAGAAUAUUGAGUCUCUGAUACUUGAACUCAAGACCCAAGCUAUAUUCCAGUGCUCUGGGAUAUCUUUGAUGGAUGUCAUGAUACAGACACAGGAUUUCUUUUCUCCUGGACACUUUCUACCUUUUCUCCUGGAGUGCAGUACAACCAUUGUUGUCAUCAUCCAGGGGUGCUUUCCUCUGGGCCCCAAGACAGUAAGCCUAU